GUGCUCGCUUCGGCAGCACAUAUACUAAAGUUGGAACGAUA
rnacentral:snRNA from 1 species